UCAUUACUCUUUUUUUUUCAGUCAUACGAAUUAAAGGAUUUGUCUCCAUAUACCUACUACGUUGUUAAGGUGUACAUCAGAGAGAAAAAUGGGGACAAAAUAUUUCCUCCCUUCCACUCCCGCAUUGUUCGGUCACCACAAGGAGUACCAAGUCCACCUGAAGAUGUUAGAGUUGAGAGUGAAAUGGAUGUCGUCAGAGUCACUUGGAAGCCACCAUCCACGCCCGCUGGAGUCAUCAAGACAUACCAUGUGUUUGUGACACCUCCAAAACCACCACGAGACAUACAAAUCUCAGGAACUUUACAUGAGGUCACAAUCCCGCAGUCAGACUUGUCUCAGGAUGUAACCAUAUGGGUAACCAUGGAAAAUGAUAAGCAUAUUAGUCCCCGAAGCAAUGAAGUGCAGUACAGCAUCUCACAUGUGGACUAUAAAGUGAAGGUGAAGGUGGACAACAGAACAUCAUCAACUGUCACUCUUUCUUGGGAUGCUGUAAAGGGAGUAGAUGGCUACAUUAUUAGUCAUGACCGUCCAGAAAAUAAAUAUUUAACAGGAAAUGUAACAACAAACACAUCAGAAUCAUCUACACAGGGUAAGUCUUAUUUUUAAUCU